AGCGUUCUUUUAAGAAUGCUAUAAUAAAGGACCAACAAUAGCAUUCCUUAAACUACAAGGACCAACAACAGCGUUUCAAAAACACGGAAGGAAUUUAUAGCAUUUUCAUUUAAACCUCGUCUACAGACUACAGCGUUUCGACCUAAAUAUAUUGGGCGGAAACCCUUGGACACCUCUGAAAUUUUCGAACCCUCCACCAGGGGAUGGGGCUUCCGAUUCUCGAGUUUUGAAUGCUGGAACCGACCUUCUCGACGAAUCCUCCGAAGCCACUUGUGCCGUUGAGGUUUUCGUCACUGGCGGAGGGCUUGAAGACCAGGGAUCGACAGACUUAGCUGAUGAAGUCAUUCGUUUUCUGAAAUAUUGGGCGAAAAACCUUGGAUCCUCACAAACGCCUUUGAAAUUUUCUCAAUCAUUGUUGUGCGAACUGGUUUGGAUGGAUCUGUUGUGAUUCUAGACUUUUGUUCAUUUCAGUUUGGAAGGAGUUAUAGUUGAACAUUUAGACAAUGGCAGUCAAUUGGUUCACAACAAUGGACAUAGAUGGCCUCAUCAGUUUUUCAACAUCGAGUUCGCUGAUGUCUGAUGUCGCCCAUGACAGGUGGAAUUUGAUUCUAAUGGAAAAGCCUUUGGAGUGACAUCGGAAGGAGAAACUGCAAAAUGCAAAAAAGUAGUUUGUGAUCCUUCAAAUUUGCCUAGCAAGGUAAAGAAGGUUGGGGAAGUAGCUCGUGCUAUAUGCAUUAUGAGUCAUCCCAUCCCUCACACCCAUGAUGCUCACUCAGUCCAGGUUAUUCUGCCCCAGAAACAACUUCGUCUUAAGUCUGAUGUAUAUAUGGGAUCAAUGUGACAUCUGGUGCUGUUGUUUCAGCUUUGAAUAUCUCCUCGGGAGAUCAUGUCACCUGCUUGCAGAGGAUGGCGGGCUUGAUUGGAAUGUGCUUGAGGGUGCAGUGACAGCUUGCAAAGGAUGGCAGGCUUAACUUGAAUUUUACUCUCCCCUAUAGAGGUAUGUUCUACUUUUGAACACACCUUUCAAUUCCAUCAUGACAGAUUUCCAUCAAACGUCUAAGCUGACCAAAUGUCAUUUAUCAGAGCUGUUUUCUUAUUUUUCUUUGACCUCUAUGUUGUAUCUUUGGUUUUAUAGCCUUCCAAAAGUUGUAUUUUGCUCACUGAGACUCGUAUGCUGGGUACUCAUGCGUUUCUUAUCUAGGUAUUUAACUAUCUGCUCUAUAAAACUAAAAUGGUUUUGACACCUGCAUGAGUUAGAAGAAAAGUUGAAAUUUCGGAAGAGAAAAACAGUGACAUACUAAUAUGAUAUGAAAUUGUAUUGCGUAAGCACUAUAGUAAUUAUUGUACAGGAGUUAAAUAGGUUUAUUCUUGGUUUUCAUUAGUUUAAGCUGCAUAAUAUUGUGGCUUCCACUACUAAUGCUCAAGACAUGUUCUCCUGAUACUGAGUAACCGGGAUUUAUACUUUGUGUAAAAAAUUUAUUAUCAAGGUGAGACAACAAUGCGGACAUAACAAUUAAGCUUGUUGGCUGUAACCUGAUUUUGUAUUCCGGUAUUCCCUUGAAAAGCAAAAGUGAGUUGAUCAUUUCAAAUUUCCUGAAAGAUUUAAUGAUAAAAAAUUUCAAAAUCUGUCUAGGGAUGACGGUGCUAAAGAUACAACAUACACUUUUUUUAACCUCUUGUUUUUCAUUAAUAUAGAGCUUUAUCUAUUUCCUUGGAAUUCGUCCUCUUCCCUAACUACUCAUUACUGAUCAUUACUGAUUGAAAGGGUGCUUUAGACUCAUUAUGUGAUGCUUCAGAAUGGUUUAGUGAUGGUUUCUGCAAUUGGUAUUCUAUGUUUGUGAAUACUAUAUAUAAUAUUCGUGCUUUAGACUCAGUAUGUGCACCAUGUUCAUCCCACUCCUCUUUAUUCCUGAAAAUUCUUUCAUUCUCUUCAAAGAUUAAAGAAUGUUAUGUUCAGCUUGGUUUGGUGUUUUUGCGGAUAUUUUUGUAGCUGUCCUUGUUGUU